GGGGGCCCGCACAAGCGGCGGAGCAUGCGGAUUAAUUCGAUGCAACGCGAAGAACCUUACCAAGGCUUGACAUGGACCGGACCGGGCUGGAAACAGUCCUUCCCCUUUGGGGCCGGUUCACAGGUGGUGCAUGGUUGUCGUCAGCUCGUGUCGUGAGAUGUUGGGUUAAGUCCCGCAACGAGCGCAACCCUCGUUCCAUGUUGCCAGCGCGUAAUGGCGGGGACUCAUGGGAGACUGCCGGGGUCAACUCGGAGGAAGGUGGGGACGACGUCAGAUCAUCAUGCCCCUUAUGUCUUGGGCUUCACGCAUGCUACAAUGGCCGGUACAAAGGGUUGCGAUACUGUGAGGUGGAGCUAAUCCCAAAAAGCCGGUCUCAGUUCGGAUUGGGGUCUGCAACUCGACCCCAUGAAGUCGGAGUCGCUAGUAAUCGCAGAUCAGCAACGCUGCGGUGAAUACGUUCCCGGGCCUUGUACACACCGCCCGUCAAGUCACGAAAGUUGGUAACACCCGAAGCCGGUGGCCUAACCCCUUGUGGGAGGGAGCUGUCGAAGGUGGGACUGGCGAUUGGGACUAAGUCGUAACAAGGUAACCGUAAGGGC
rnacentral:rRNA from 1 species